rfam:Paxillus involutus ATCC 200175 unplaced genomic scaffold PAXINscaffold_27, whole genome shotgun sequence.
GGCUUUGUAGUGUAGUGGUUAUCACUUGAGAUUCUGAUUUGGAUGUGAUCACCAGUGUUCUCAAAACCCAGGUUCGAACCCUGGCAAGGCCU